rnacentral:rRNA from 1 species
AUGGCAAACGCGAACCAAGGGGGCGAUCUGGCGCCACUACCAAUCGUCCCUUGCCCAGAUUGCGGCAGGAACAUGGUGACCUACGUAGCUUGCUGGGGGCAGAACGCUGAUGAACAUUUCUACAAGUGCCGGAAUCACAACCCAUCGCGUGGGGGUUGUGAUUUCUACCGAUGGCAGGAGGCGUACGCGGACCAUCUAGCGUCGCUUGGGCCUGUCGCGCCACCAUUGGCGCAAAUCCAGCCACAGCCGCAGCAAGGUGGACAAUGCGGGGGAGUUCAAGAUCUGCAGAUGCCGCACGGUGGACAGCUGCAGCACAAUAGCAUGGCGGAUGGCACACAGUUUGUUUCUUCAGUCAGCGCAGUUACAGGAUACAUCCUCGUUGCGUUGCCUGCGGCUGCCUGCCAGGGGACUGUCAGGUUGGACCCCGCAUCUAUCAAUUUGGUGGUAUCUGUGGCGAGCCUGAUAGUUGGCAUGGCGAUACUUGUGUUGCUGGUGGCCGAUGUGGUCCUGCGCGUGCUGGGGUAG